UACGUAGGGUGCAAGCGUUAAUCGGAAUUACUGGGCGUAAAGCGUGCGCAGGCGGUUGUGCAAGACCGAUGUGAAAUCCCCGGGCUUAACCUGGGAAUGGCAUUGGUGACUGCACGGCUAGAGUGUGUCAGAGGGGGGUAGAAUUCCACGUGUAGCAGUGAAAUGCGUAGAGAUGUGGAGGAAUACCGAUGGCGAAGGCAGCCCCCUGGGAUAACAAUGACGCUCAUGCACGAAAGCGUGGGGAGCAAACAGG
rnacentral:rRNA from 1 species